AUUGAACGCUGGCGGCAGGCUUAACACAUGCAAGUCGAACGCCCGUAGCAAUACGGGAGUGGCAGACGGGUGAGUAACGCGUGGGAACAUGCCCUUUGGUUCGGAAUAACUCAGGGAAACUUGAGCUAAUACCGGAUAAGCCCGAGAGGGGAAAGAUUUAUCACCGAAGGAUUGGCCCGCGUCCGAUUAGCUAGUUGGUGAGGUAAUGGCUCACCAAGGCGACGAUCGGUAGCUGGUCUGAGAGGAUGAUCAGCCACACUGGGACUGAGACACGGCCCAGACUCCUACGGGAGGCAGCAGUGGGGAAUAUUGGACAAUGGGGGCAACCCUGAUCCAGCCAUGCCGCGUGAGUGAUGAAGGCCCUAGGGUUGUAAAGCUCUUUCGGCGGGGACGAUAAUGACGGUACCCGCAGAAGAAGCCCCGGCUAACUUCGUGCCAGCAGCCGCCGUAACAC
rnacentral:rRNA from 1 species